CCUCUCUCAGGGUCGCAUCUGGAGAGUUUCCAGUAGUCUUUCAGUCUCGAAUAUGGGAGGGAGAGUCAAGCAGAGGCCUAUCCAUUCCAUUCCUAGCUUGGCCGGUGGCUAGCGAGUGGAAGACAAUCUGCUACGAGG